rnacentral:rRNA from 1 species
AUUGAACGCUGGCGGCAGGCCUAACACAUGCAAGUCGAACGAGUGGCGGACGGGUGAGUAAUGUCUGGGAAACUGCCCGAUGGAGGGGGAUAACUACUGGAAACGGUAGCUAAUACCGCAUACCAUCGGAUGUGCCCAGAUGGGAUGAGCUAGUAGGUGGGGUAACGGCUCACCUAGGGGACGAUCCCUAGCUGGUCUGAGAGGAUGACCAGCCAAACUGGAACAGAGAACCGGUCCAGACUCCUACGGGCGGGAGCAGUGGGGAAUAUUGCACAAUGGGCGCAAGCCUGAUGAAGCCAUGCCGCGUGUAUGAAGAAGGCCUUCGGGUUGUAAAGUACUUUCAGCGGGGAGGCGUUACCCGCAGAAGAAGCACCGGCUAACUCCGUGCCAGCAGCCGCGGUAAUUC